CCAAGACCAUCCAUUGCUGUUGAUUCUCAGCAAGUUUUGAUUACGGAAGAAGAUUGUGAAGCCAACAUAGACUAUUCCAGCAAUUCAUUUGGAAGUUCAUACGACAAGUUGGCAACAAAUGAAGUGCAUUCAACGGUCUACCUUCCAUUGCUUCGUGUAGCAUUCUAUUUGGGAAGCCGUCUAACAAAAAAUGCUUUAAGCCUAGUGUUCUAACUCGACCAAAAUCAAUUGAAAAAUGGUCCAAUCGAUUGAUUAAUUAUAUAAAAAAUCUUAAUCGAAUUCCCAUCGACAAGAAUUUUUUACCAUCGAUUAUAAUCGAUUGAUUAAUUUUCUCAAGAAUUAUAACCGAUUAAAAUCGAUUAAAGGAAAAAAAUUAAAAAGUUUUACAAUCGAUUAUAAUCGUGUUAAUGCUUAAGGAAAUUCGUUUAUUUUUUAGACUGAAUUGAAUAGUGAAUACAUUCUUAUUGGUUUUGAAAGUAUUCGUUGACAAAUUCGUUAUCUUGUGUACUAUAACUUUAAUUGUCACUCCAAUCUUCAUCUUCUAUGAAUACUACGACUUCUUC